UACGGGGGGAGCAAGCGUUGUUCGGAUUUACUGGGCGUAAAGGGAGUCUAGGCGGUCAGAUAAGUGGAAUGUGAAAUCCCUCGGCUUACCCGAGGACCUGCAUCCCAAACUGUCUGGCUUGAGUAUGGGAGAGGAUGAGGGAAUUCCUGGUGUAGCGGUGAAAUGCGUAGAUAUCAGGAGGAACACCGGUGGCGAAAGCGCUCAUCUGGCCCAAUACUGACGCUGAAGCUCGAAAGCUAGGGGAGCAAACGGG
rnacentral:rRNA from 1 species